GACGAACCGUGCGAACGUUAUUCGGAAUCAUUGGGCUUAAAGCGCGUGUAGGCGGAUUCGUGCGUCUGUCGCUGAAAUCCCCCGGCUCAACCGGGGAACGGGCGCGGAUACGACGAGUCUGGAGGGGCAUAGGGGGACCUGGAACUUCCGGUGGAGCGGUGAAAUGCGUUGAGAUCGGAAGGAACGCCCGUGGCGAAGGCGGCUCUCUGGGACGGUACUGACGCUGAGACGCGAAAGCGUGGGGAGCGAACAGG
rnacentral:rRNA from 1 species